rnacentral:lncRNA from 1 species
GAAGACCGUGGAGAUGUGAGGGAUCAAAGUCUGAUCAGAUACAUCAUGUGAUGUGGAUCCCUGUGCAAAAAUUGAAGUGCCCCACUGUCGAGAAAGUAAGGAAGCCACACGCUGAGAGAUCAUCUCAAUCUGGUCAUCAGCCAAUCUGAUCUCUGAGGGAUGUGCUCUGCUGUCUGGCUGCUGGACUGGAGUGUGCCUCCUAGUAGACUCUGAUGGGCCAGCCUCGGGAUCUGAAACGAACUGAAUGUCUGAAGAUGCUGCCCUGAUAUCAUAGAGAGGUGAUGAAGGACCUUCUUCCUCAGCUCUGUCCUCAACUCUCUCUUCUGCA